AUCAACGCUGGCGGCGUGCCUAACACAUGCAAGUCGAGCGAGAAAAGGGUAGCAAUAUCCUGAGUAAAGCGGCGCACGGGUGAGUAACACGUGGGUAAUCUGCCCUGGAGUGGGGAAUAACACCGGGAAACCGGUGCUAAUACCGCAUACGAUCGCGAUGUCUGCGGACGUUGUGAUGAAAGGAGCAAUUCGCUCCAGGAGGAGCCCGCGGCUGAUUAGCUAGUUGGUGAGGUAAUGGCUCACCAAGGCUACGAUCAGUAUCCGGUCUGAGAGGACGGUCGGACACACUGGAACUGAGACACGGUCCAGACUCCUACGGGAGGCAGCAGUGGGGAAUUUUUGGCAAUGGGGGCAACCCUGACCAAGCAACGCCGCGUGGGUGAUGAAGUCUCUUGGGACGUAAAACCCUUUCGACGGGGAAGAAACCGCAAGGUUGACGGUACCCGUAGAAGAAGCCCCGGCUAACUCCGUGCCAGCAGCCGCGGUAAUACGGGGGGGGCAAGCGUUGUUCGGAAUUACUGGGCGUAAAGGGUGCGUAGGCGGUGCUCUAAGUCGGAUGUGAAAACUCUGGGCUCAACCCAGAGCCUGCAUCCGAAACUGGAGUGCUAGAGUUCUGGAGGGGGUAGCGGAAUUCCUGGUGUAGCGGUGAAAUGCGUAGAUAUCAGGAGGAACACCGGUGGCGAAGGCGGCUACCUGGACAGAAACUGACGCUGAGGCACGAAAGCUAGGGGAGCAAACAGGAUUAGAUACCCUGGUAGUCCACGCCGUAAACGAUGAGUGCUAGAUGCUGUGGGGAUUGACCCCCGGUCGUGCGCAGCCUAACGCAUUAAGCACUCCCGCCUGGGGAGUACGGUCGCAAGGCUGAAAACUCAAAGGAAUUGACGGGGGCCCGCACAAGCGGUGGAGCAUGUGGUUCAAUUCGACGCAACGCGCAGAACCUUACCUGGGUUAGAAUCCAGGCCUAGGAACCGGUGGCAGAAGUCAGGGUUUCCCUGCAAGGGACACUGGUAGAGGUGCUGCAUGGCUGUCGUCAGCUCGUGUCGUGAGAUGUUGGGUUAAGUCCCGCAACGAGCGCAACCUCUGUCGUUAGUUGCCAGCCAGGUUAAGUGAGGCACUCUAACGAGACUGCCGACGUGCAAAUCCGGAGGAAGGUGGAGAUGACGUCAAGUCCUCAUGGCCCUUAUGCCCAGGGCUACACACGUGCUACAAUGGUCAGUACAAAGGGAUGCAAGACCGCGAGGUGGAGCCAAUCCCAAAAAACUGCCCUCAGUUCGGAUUGUAGUCUGCAACUCGACUACAUGAAGCUGGAAUCGCUAGUAAUCGGAGAUCAGCACGCUCCGGUGAAUACGUUCCCGGGCCUUGUACACACCGCCCGUCACACCAUGGGAGUCAGUUGCUCUAGAAGUCGGUGCGCCAACCUCGUGAGGCAGCCGCCUAAAGAGUGACUGGUGACUGGGGUG
rnacentral:rRNA from 1 species